CAUGGAUUCAGCGCGAUGCCCAAAUCCAAGCGCGACAAGAAAGUCUCCUUAACCAAAACUGCCAAUAAAGGCUUGGAAUUGAAACAAAACCUGAUGGAAGAGCUUCGGAAAUGUGUGGACACCUACAAGUACCUUUUCAUCUUCUCUGUGGCCAACAUGAGGAACAGCAAGCUGAAGGACAUCCAGAACGCCUGGAAGCACAGCCGGAUGUUCUUCGGCAAAAACAAGGCGAUGAUGGUGGCCUUCGGUCGGAGCCCAUCUGGUGAGUACAAAGACAACCUGUACCAGGUCAGCAAAAGGUUGAGGGGUGAGAUGAGUUUCCUGUUCACCAACCGCACAAAGGAGGAGGUGAAUGAGUGGUUCACGAAAUACACAGAAAUGGACAACACCCGAGCUGGUAACAAAGCAGCUUUCACUGUGAGCCUGGACCCAGGGCCUCUGGAGCAGUUCCCCCACUCCAUGCAGUCACAGCUCAGGCAGCUGGGCCUGCCCACCACCCUCAAGAGAGGUGUGGUGACUCUGCUAUCUGACUACGAGGUAUGCAAGGAGGGCGACGUGCUGACCCCAGAGCAGGCUCGCGUCCUGAAGCUUUUUGGGUACGAGAUGGCUGAAUUCAAGGUGACCAUCAAACACAUGUGGGAUUCACAGUUGGGAAGGUUCCAGCACAUGGGAGACGACUUGCCAGAGAGCGCAUCCGAGUCCGCAGAAAAGUCAGACUCAGAAGACGAUGACUGA